UACAAUGAGAGUUUGAUCCUGGCUCAGAACGAACGCUGGCGGCGCGCUUAACACAUGCAAGUCGAACGAGAAGCCGUAGCAAUACGGUUGUAAAGUGGCAAACGGGUGAGUAAUGCGUGGGUAAUCUACCCUCGGGUGGGGAAUAACUCUUCGAAAGGAGAGCUAAUGCCGACAUGUGCAUCACUUUCGCAAGGAAGUGCUGGAAAGCCGUACCGUGGGUGCGGCGCCCAAGGAUGAGCUCGCGUCCUAUCAGCUUGUUGGCGGGGUAACGGCCCACCAAGGCUGCGACGGGUAGCUGGUCUGAGAGGACGACCAGCCACACUGGCACUGCGACACGGGCCAGACUCCU
rnacentral:ncRNA from 1 species